rnacentral:rRNA from 1 species
UACAGAGGGGGCAAGCGUUAUUCGGGAUUAUUGGGCGUAAAGGGCGCGUAGGCGGCCUGACAAGUGGAAGGUGAAAUCCCUCGGCUCAACUGAGGAACUGCCCUCCAAACUGUUUGGCUUGAGACCGGGAGAGGUGAGUGGAAUUCCCAGUGUAGCGGUGAAAUGCGUAGAUAUUGGGAGGAACACCAGUGGCGAAGGCGGCUCACUGGACCGGAACUGACGCUGAGGCGCGAAAGCGUGGGGAGCGAACAGG